AAAGAAUGACCCUAGAAGACUCAAAAAUUAAGUGGAAGAGUGAGACACUAUUUGGACAACACUUUUGUAAAUGAUAUUACGUUGCUACCCUUAUUUAUUUAUUUUAUUUUUCAUAUUCUCUCUCUCCUCAUCCUUCUUCUCCGAUCAAAUUUUGUUUCAGGAAACUAAAAUUUUCUCACAAAAUUCAUCAAAUUGUGAGAUUUCAAAUUUCAAUAAAAUUGUUUCAUUUAUUUGUGACAGUAAAUGCAACCAUGGUUUUGAGAGGGUUAUGAUUUUGAUCGUGAAUCGUGGUGAUGUGGUGGCUCUUAUUUUGAUUCAGUGCCGGCUGUAGCGGUGGUGAUUGUAAGUGGUGGUUAUUCCUAUUUAAAAUAAUGGGGUUUUUAACGAUGGUGUAGAUAGUAUUUACAAUGAUAGUGGUGAUGAUUAUAUUAUCGGUGGUGGUGAGUUUGAGAAAAAAGAAGGUGACAUGAAUGGAAUCGUAGAUUGAGAUGGCGUCAGAAUGGUGCGGUAAGCUAAACGAUUUUAUGGUGAUGGUGUCGGAGAAGGUGCGAGGGCUAAAGAGUUUUAUAAGUGUCGCCGUCUUCUCCGUCUAUCUCGUUGGUGAGCAGAUCUAGAACAAAAUUUGUUAUUUUUCAUUGCUAGAUAUUUUUAUUAUUAUCAUAUUAACCUUGUUAUUGAUUAUUAUUGGUGAAUAUUAUGUAUAAGUUACACGUUAAUAUAAAUAUUAUGCAUAUAUCGACUAUCUUACCGUGUUCAUACA
rnacentral:lncRNA from 1 species